GAACAAAGCUAAGAAUCCUUGUGUACGUGAAUUAAUAACAUCAAUGUCAUGUAAGGAGACGGUAUGGACUACCUCCUUUCGUUUUUGAAUUUCUCCUUGAGGACAUUGAACAAACCGAGUGUCAGCUCCCAUAGCAUCAUAAUCCCUUGCCCUCGAGAAUGAACGACCGAGCUUAGUAACUCUUCCCACUGACUUAUCAAUACUAAUAACAUCACCAGCUAAAACCUUUUCUUUUGUGAGGGAAUCAAUCAUCUUUGUUCCUAAAUCAUAAACCGUUUCCAUGUCGGUACUGCGAAUUGUAAGCUUGCCUUGCUUAUUACCGCCAGUAAUAGACCGAUCAAUUUGAACUUCCACAACCUCUCCUUCAAUAAUUUCUGUCUCCUCCUUAAUACGGACACCUAUGCUUUUUCGCAAGGCUUGCAACAGGGCUUCUGUUUU